rnacentral:rRNA from 1 species
UACAUGGGGUGCAAACGUUGCUCGGAAUUAUUGGGCGUAAAGCGCACGUAGGCGGUUCGUUAAGUCAGAUGUGAAAGCCCCCGGCUCAACUGGGGAGGGUCAUUCGAUACUGAUCGACUCGAAGGCAGGAGAGGGAAGCGGAAUUCCCGGUGUAGUGGUGAAAUGCGUAGAUAUCGGGAGGAACACCAGUGGCGAAGGCGGCUUCCUGGCCUGUUCUUGACGCUGAGGCGCGAAAGCUAGGGGAGCAAACGGG